rnacentral:lncRNA from 1 species
UUGGGAUCCCUGUUGCAGAGUGCAGAUGAGGUUGCGAUCCCCGUACACAUUGUCCACGCGACCUGGUAAGAGCACACAGACACGGCAGAAUACAGAUUAGGUUGGUGUCAAAUUGUGUUGAGCAAAUUAAGAGCGAUCUUUUGGAGACACAGAAAGCAAGCAAGUAGGUACAUGUUGUUGGCCAGAACUUGGCGCCCCGAAGCCACGCUGCAGGGAACGCAGCAUACUCCCUGGAGUACGGCUUAGUCCAUGAGUCGCUCAUCAGAAGUUGGGGCGGGUGAGGAGCACUCUGCACAACAACGGAACAAAACAAGAAUCACAUGUCAACAUCCUGGUGAUGCAAGAGCUAUGCAGCCGCCUCAUGUUUGAACUUUUGAGUUUGGACCAUGCUAAUGUAUCUCCAAAAUUGCAUACAGCAUGAGGACUAGGAUUGAACGGGGUCUACUAACAUCUUAUAUAACCUAUAAGAAUUGGGGGUAAGAACAUAAUUGCCCGUAUAUAGAUAGAUAGGUGUUACGAACUUAC